rnacentral:rRNA from 1 species
UACGGAGGGGGCUAGCGUUGCUCGGAAUUACUGGGCGUAAAGCGCGCGUAGGCGGACCUGCAAGUCGGGGGUGAAAGCCCGAGGCUCAACCUCGGAACUGCCUUCGAUACUGCGGGUCUCGAGUCCGGGAGAGGUGAGUGGAAUUCCUAGUGUAGAGGUGAAAUUCGUAGAUAUUAGGAAGAACACCAGUGGCGAAGGCGGCUCACUGGCCCGGUACUGACGCUGAGGCGCGAAAGCGUGGGGAGCAAACAGG